rnacentral:lncRNA from 1 species
AUUUUCAAAUGUGCUUUUAAUCUCCUCAGGCCAUGUCCUCAAUCCUGUCAGAUGGGAAUGACCGGAGCUUCCUCCCUGAUGGCAGGCAGGGCUGCAUAAGGUGAACCCAUGGAAACCACCCAGCAGGCCUGGAAGAGGAGAUGAGCAGAUGCCCUGAAACCAGAUACUGUGGGCUCCCCAGAGCACCCUUGGGAUCAGUGCUUAGCCAUGCCUUGGAUACAGUCCCACUGGGCUAUAACAGCAACUCCAUAAUUCAUCAGGAUCAGGAUUGGUCCCAGAGACUGAGGCAUGCUUGGCAACUGCUCCAACACUGGGAUAUGUCAUCAGCCUCUUAAGAAUGAGUCAAAGUCCA